rnacentral:rRNA from 1 species
UACAGAGGUCCCAAGCGUUGUUCGGAUUCAUUGGGCGUAAAGGGUGCGUAGGCGGCGCGGUAAGUCGGGUGUGAAAUCUCGGGGCUUAACUCCGAAACUGCAUUCGAUACUGCCGUGCUUGAGGACUGGAGAGGAGACUGGAAUUUACGGUGUAGCGGUGAAAUGCGUAGAUAUCUGGAGGAACACCGGUGGCGAAGGCGGCAUCCUGGACCGGCAUUGACGCUGAGGAGCGAAAGCCAGGGGAGCAAACGGG